CGAAGAGGGAAGGUAAAGUAAGGUGGUAAUAGAGGGAGAAAAGAAUGGAAACGAGAAAAGAAAAGAAAAAGAAGGAAAGGGAGGAGAAGAGAAGAAAUAGAUUAUUCUCGGUUACGAGAACGAGAUGUUCAGGAGAGCGUUGGCACGCGGGUGCGACGUCCCCCGUGCCUGGCUCGUUUCGUCAACAUUUCCGGUUGCGCUGUGCUACCACGAUAGGGGGCCGGAAGUAAACACGAUGCUGACCGUGUGAUCGACCGAGCGUGCUCGAUAGAUCCGUUCACGGCGGCCGACGAGCUGAGACUGAACGGCUCGUCCCCACGGAACGCCCGAUCGCGAUCUACGAGUACUACCAACGCGAGGCCACGGCCCGGCUUGGCCAUCGUGUGAGUGCCUUUCUAUACGAACUUACUCGUGUGAGUGAGUGAGCGUACGGACCAUCGCAUCGGGAGGACUUGCCGAGGUACUCGGAGGCGCGCGCGCGCCAUCAACAUCGAGCAGAUAAAAUAAACACUCGUACAGAACGGACACCUUGUCUGUUGGUUAAUUCUGUCCAGUCGACUAUCGCACGCUUCAACUUUUUUAAACACGACAUUCCCGUAAAUUUCUUUUAUCUACAUCACGUUUCACCUUAAAUUUAUCACUUCGAACCCACCUUAAAAUUAUACCUAAAGUCCAUGUUUGUAAAACUUUCAAUCGUGUACAAUAUUUUAUUUAAAAUAAAAGAAUACAUCCCCG